rnacentral:rRNA from 1 species
AGAUGAACGCUGGCGGCAGGCCUAACACAUGCAAGUCGAGCGGAUGAAGGGAGCUUGCUCCUGGAUUCAGCGGCGGACGGGUGAGUAAUGCCUAGGAAUCUGCCUGGUAGUGGGGGAUAACGUCCGGAAACGGGCGCUAAUACCGCAUACGUCCUGAGGGAGAAAGUGGGGGAUCUUCGGACCUCACGCUAUCAGAUGAGCCUAGGUCGGAUUAGCUAGUUGGUGGGGUAAAGGCCUACCAAGGCGACGAUCCGUAACUGGUCUGAGAGGAUGAUCAGUCACACUGGAACUGAGACACGGUCCAGACUCCUACGGGAGGCAGCAGUGGGGAAUAUUGGACAAUGGGCGAAAGCCUGAUCCAGCCAUGCCGCGUGUGUGAAGAAGGUCUUCGGAUUGUAAAGCACUUUAAGUUGGGAGGAAGGGCAGUAAGUUAAUACCUUGCUGUUUGACGUACCAACAGAAUAAGCAC